UGCAAGUCGAGCGGACAGAAGGGAGCUUGCUCCCGGAUGUUAGCGGCGGACGGGUGAGUAACACGUGGGUAACCUGCCUGUAAGACUGGGAUAACUCCGGGAAACCGGAGCUAAUACCGGAUAGUUCCUUGAACCGCAUGGUUCAAGGAUGAAAGACGGUUUCGGCUGUCACUUACAGAUGGACCCGCGGCGCAUUAGCUAGUUGGUGGGGUAAUGGCUCACCAAGGCGACGAUGCGUAGCCGACCUGAGAGGGUGAUCGGCCACACUGGGACUGAGACACGGCCCAGACUCCUACGGGAGGCAGCAGUAGGGAAUCUUCCGCAAUGGACGAAAGUCUGACGGAGCAACGCCGCGUGAGUGAUGAAGGUUUUCGGAUCGUAAAGCUCUGUUGUUAGGGAAGAACAAGUGCGAGAGUAACUGCUCGCACCUUGACGGUACCUAACCAGAAAGCCACGGCUAACUACGUGCC
rnacentral:rRNA from 1 species